UUAUAUCAUGUGAUCAUCUAAAGAAAUAAAAAGAACCAUUUGGAGGAAAUCGUGAACAAUAAAUUAUAGCUUGGACAACUGGACAAAGUUUCCUAAAAACUCCUGAGAAAGGAAAACAAUGCAAACGUGAUAAGUUUAUUUGGAA